rnacentral:rRNA from 1 species
CCUACGUGAGGCAGCAGUGAGGAAUAUUGGUCAAUGGACGGAAGUCUGAACCAGCAAUGCCGCGUGCAGGAAGACGGCUCUAUGAGUUGUAAACUGCUUUUGUACAAGGGUCAACCUGAAUACGUGUAUUCAGCUGAAAGUACUGUACGAAUAAGGAUAGGCUAACUACGUGCCAGCAGACGCGGUAAUACUGAGGAUCCAAGCGGUACCCGGAUGUAUUGGGUUUAAAGGGUGCAUAGGUGGAAGUAGACGUUAGAGGGGAAAUGUCCGAGCUUAACUCGGGAACGGUCUCUAAUACUGUUGAUCUAGAGAGUAGAUGCGGUAGGCUGAAUGUAUGGUGUAGCGGUUAAAUGCUUAGAGAUCAUACAGAACACCGAUUGCGAAGGCAGCUUACCAAUCUAUAUCUGACGUUGAGGCACGAAAGCGUGGGGAGCAAACAGGAUUAGAUACCCGAGUAGUC